AGGUCAUAUCAGGUUGAAACACCGGUUCUCGUACGAUCACCUGCGUUAAGCAACGUCCAGCCUGUUCAGUACCUAGAUGGGGGACCGCUUGGAAAUACCAGGUUCUGUAAG